rnacentral:rRNA from 1 species
UACGUAGGGGGCUAGCGUUGUCCGGAAUCAUUGGGCGUAAAGAGCGCGUAGGCGGCCAGAUAAGUCCGGUGUGAAAGUCACAGGCUCAACCUGUGAAUGCCGCUGGAAACUGUCUGGCUAGAGUCCGGGAGGGGCGAGUGGAAUUCCUGGUGUAGCGGUGAAAUGCGCAGAUAUCAGGAAGAACACCUAUGGCGAAGGCAGCUCUCUGGGACGGUACUGACGCUGAGACGCGAAAGCGUGGGGAGCGAACAGG